rnacentral:rRNA from 1 species
UACGAAGGGUGCAAGCGUUACUCGGAAUUACUGGGCGUAAAGCGUGCGUAGGUGGUUCGUUAAGUCUGAUGUGAAAGCCCUGGGCUCAACCUGGGAAUGGCAUUGGAUACUGGCGAUCUAGAGUGCGGUAGAGGGAGGUAGAAUUUCCUGUGUAGCGGUGAAAUGCGUAGAUAUAGGAAGGAAUACCAGUGGCGAAGGCGGCCUCCUGGAUCGACACUGACGCUAAGGCGCGAAAGCGUGGGGAGCAAACAGG